rnacentral:rRNA from 1 species
AACGAACGCUGGCGGCAGGCUUAACACAUGCAAGUCGAGCGCCCCGCUAGGGGAUCGGCAGACGGGUGAGUAACGCGUGUGAACGUACCUUUUGGUUCGGAACAACUCCGGGAAACUGGAGCUAAUACCGGAUAAGCCCUAACGGGGAAAGAUUUAUCGCCGAAAGAUCGGCCCGCGUCUGAUUAGCUAGUUGGUGAGGUAACGGCUCACCAAGGCGACGAUCAGUAGCUGGUCUGAGAGGAUGAUCAGCCACACUGGGACUGAGACACGGCCCAGACUCCUACGGGAGGCAGCAGUGGGGAAUAUUGGACAAUGGGCGCAAGCCUGAUCCAGCCAUGCCGCGUGAGUGAUGAAGGCCUUAGGGUUGUAAAGCUCUUUUGUCCGGGAAGAUAAUGACUGUACCGGAAGAAUAAGCCCCGGCUAACUUCGUG